GUAGGUGAACCUGCGGAAGGAUCAUUAAAGAGUAUAGAGACUUCGGUCUACUACUCCACCCUUUGUUUACAAUACCAUUGUUGCUUUGGCAGGCCCGUCUUCGGGCAACUGGCUUUGGCUGGUUAGUGUCUGCCAGAGAACCUAAAACUCAUGUUUAUAUUAUCGUCUGAGUACUAUAUAAUAGUUAAAACUUUCAACAACGGAUCUCUUGGUUCUGGCAUCGAUGAAGAACGCAGCAUCUGACUGACUC
rnacentral:misc_RNA from 1 species